AAUUUCAAUACCAACAUACAAGCGCGAUGUGGGGACGCAUAGAGUUAGUCGAGCUCACUGAUGGAAUAGUGGGUCGAAGGACGUAGGUUGAUACUUAGGCAAAUCCGGGUAUCAUAAGACCGAGAUCUUACAGGCUCUUGACACUCUUCGGAGGAGAUGGAGAAUCGAUGAUACUGUCGUGCCAAGAAAAGCCACUAAGUAUAUUGUAUGUUGCCCGUACCGUAAACCGACACAGGUGGGUGGGAUGAGUAUUCUAAGGCGCGUGGAAGAACCCUGGUUAAGGAACUCUGCAAACUAGCACCGUAUCUUCGGUAUAAGGUGUGCCUACUUUGGUAUAUGGGCUUGCCCCAAAAAGCUAGAGAGGUUGCAACAAAGAGUCCCUCCCGACUGUUUACCUAAAACACGGCACUUUGCUAACACGUAAGUGGAUGUAUAAGGUGUGACGCCUGCCCGGUGCUCGAAGGUUAACUGAUGAUGUCAGCGCAAGCGAAGCAUUUGAUUGAAGCCCGAGUAAACGGCGGCCGUAACUAUAACGGUCCUAAGGUAGCGAAAUUCCUUGUCGGUUAAAUACCGACCUGCAUGAAUGGCGUAACGAGAUGGGAGCUGUCUCAACCAGGGAUCCAGUGAAAUUGUAGUGGAGGUGAAAAUUCCUCCUACCCGCGGAAAGACGGAAAGACCCCGUGCACCUUUACUACAGCUUGACACUGUAGCUUGGAUAUUCAUGUGCAGGAUAGGUGGGAGGCUAUGAUAUAUGGACGCAAGUACAUAUGGAGCCAUCCUUUAGAUACCACCCUUGAAUAUUUGAGUUACUAACUGCGACGAGUUAACCUCGUUCAGGACAAUGUCUGGUGGGUAGUUUGACUGGGGCGGUCGCCUCCUAAAAAGUAACGGAGGCUUACAAAGGUUAGUUCAAAGCGGUUGGAAAUCGCUUGUUGAGUAUAAUGGCAUAAACUGGCUUGACUGUGAGACAUACAAGUCGAACAGAGACGAAAGUCGGUCAUAGUGAUCCGGUGGUUCUGUGUGGAAGGGCCAUCGCUCAAAGGAUAAAAGGUACGCCGGGGAUAACAGGCUGAUCUCCCCCAAGAGCUCACAUCGACGGGGAGGUUUGGCACCUCGAUGUCGGCUCAUCGCAUCCUGGGGCUGUAGUCGGUCCCAAGGGUAUGGCUGUUCGCCAUUUAAAGCGGUACGCGAGCUGGGUUCAGAACGUCGUGAGACAGUUCGGUCCCUAUCUUCCGUGGGCGUAGGAAAGUUGAAGAGAUUUGUCCCUAGUACGAGAGGACCGGGAUGAACGUACCACUGGUGUACCAAUUGUUCUGCCAAGAGCAUCGUUGGGUAGCUACGUACGGAUGUGAUAAGAGCUGAAAGCAUCUAAGCUCGAAGCCAACUCUAAGAUGAACUUUCCCUGAAGUUCCCAGCAAGACUAGCUGGUUGAUAGGCUGGAUGUGUAAGCGUUGUAAGACGUUUAGCUGACCAGUACUAAUAGAACGUUUGGCUC
rnacentral:rRNA from 1 species